UGACCGCCAGCGUUCUUUUUACAUGACGCGNCGCGUCAUGUAAAAAGAACGCUGGCGGUCA
rnacentral:pre_miRNA from 1 species